GACGAACGCUGUCGGCGCGCCUAACACAUGCAAGUCGAACGAUAGCACAAGAGAGCUUGCUCUCCGGGUGACGAGUGGCGGACGGGUGAGUAAUGCAUGGGGAGCUGCCCAAUCGAGGGGGAUACCAGCUGGAAACGGCUGCUAAUACCGAAUACGCCCCUUUCUGUCAAAAGAAAGGGGGAAAGGUGGGGACCUUCGGGCCUACCGCGAUUGGAAGCACCCAUGUGGGAUUAGCUGGUUGGUGAGGUAACGGCUCACCAAGGCGACGACCUCUAGCUGGUCUGAGAGGAUGACCAGCCACACUGGAACUGAGACACGGUCCAGACUCCUACGGGAGGCAGCAGUGGGGAAUAUUGCACAAUGGGGGAAACCCUGAUGCAGCCAUGCCGCGUGUGUGAAGAAGGCCUUCGGGUUGUAAAGCACUUUCAGUAGGGAGGAAGGGAUGAUGUCUAAUACGCAUCAUCAUUGACGUUACCUACAGAAGAAGCACCGGCUAACUCCGUGCCAGCAGCCGCGUAAAAC
rnacentral:rRNA from 1 species